UAAUACGAUGGAAGGAUCCUAAACACGCCCGAUCUCGUCUGAUCUCGGAAGCUAAGCAGGGUCGGGCCUGGUCAGUACUUUGGAUGGGAGACCGCCUGGGAAUACCAGGUGCUGUAAGCU
rnacentral:rRNA from 1 species